GAUGAACGCUAGCGGGAGGCCUAACACAUGCCAGCCGAGCGGUAGAGUUUCUUCGGAAACUUGAGAGCGGCGCACGGGUGCGUAACACGUGUGCAACCUACCUUUAUCUGGGGGAUAGCCUUUCGAAAGGAAGAUUAAUACCCCAUAAUAUAAUGAUUGGCAUCAAUUAUUAUUGAAAACUCCGGUGGAUAGUGAUGGGCACGCGCAAGGUUAGAUAGUUGGUGAGGUAACAGCUCACCAAGUCAAUGAACUUUAGGGGUGCUGAGAGGGAGAUCCCCCACACUGGUACUGAGACACAGACCAGUAUCCUACGGGAGGCAGCAGUGAGGAAUAUUAGGGGCGGGGUGAGGGCGUGAUCCAGCCAUCCCGCGUGAAGGAGGACGGGCCUAGGGAUUGUAAACUUCUUUUGAACAGGGAUAGUCCUACCCUCGGGAGAGUAGCUGAAGGUACUGAACGAAUAAGCACCGGCUAACUACGUG
rnacentral:rRNA from 1 species